GACGAGCUGUGCAAACGUUAUUCGGAAUCACUGGGCUUAAAGAGUUCGUAGGCGGCCUGUUAGGUGGGGUGUGAAAUCCCUCGGCUUAACCGAGGAAUGGCGCUCCAAACCGGCAGGCUUGAGGAAGGUAGAGGUGAGCGGAACUGAUGGUGGAGCGGUGAAAUGCGUUGAUAUCAUCAGGAACACCGGAGGCGAAGGCGGCUCACUGGGCCUUUUCUGACGCUGAGGAACGAAAGCCAGGGUAGCGAACGGG
rnacentral:rRNA from 1 species